UGAAAAGAAAUCAAUAUUGGGGAAUU
rnacentral:piRNA from 1 species